GAAAAAUAUGCUUCAAGCAGGGUGAAAGAAAUCCAGAUCAAGUCUGUUAUUCAGGCUUUACCGGUUUAUGCAAUGGGUAUUUUUAAAUUCCCUGCUUCACUCUACGAUGAGUUAUCCUAGAUUAUUAGGAAUUUUUGGUGGGGCGAUGAAGAGAAAAGGAAAAGAACACAUUGGUUGGAUUGGGAUAAGAUGACGAGACCAAAAAGUGAACGGGGUAUGAGAUUUCGCGAUCUUCGGCUUUUUAAUCAAACACUUUUGGCAAAACAAGCUUGGCGUCUUUUCAUUUUUUCGGACUCUCCGUGUGCAAAGGUGAUGAAUGCUAUAUAUUAUCCUCAUGGGCAUCUUAUUGAUAUCAUUUUCCCUCAAGAUCUAUCCCUUUCUUGGCAAGGAAUUAUUCAUGACCUUGAACUGCUAAAAAGGCAUCAUAUGGAGAGUGGUCGAUGUGACUAG
rnacentral:rRNA from 1 species